rnacentral:rRNA from 1 species
AGGGGUCAGAGCGACGAGGAGAAGGCCAAGAAUGGGAUCAAGGACAACUUGGUGAGGUUUAGCUUUGGAAUUGAGAAGUUUGAGGAUCUCAAGGAUGACAUUCUCCAAGGCCUCGAGAAGAUUUAG